rnacentral:rRNA from 1 species
AGUGAACGCUGGCGGUAGGCCUAACACAUGCCAGUCGAACGGCAGCACAGUAAGAGCUUGCUCUUACGAGUGGCGAGUGGCGGACGGGUGAGGAAUACAUCGGAAUCUACUUUUUCGUGGGGGAUAACGUAGGGAAACUUACGCUAAUACCGCAUACGACCUACGGGUGAAAGCAGGGGAUCUUCGGACCUUGCGCGAUUGAAUGAGCCGAUGUCGGAUUAGCUAGUUGGCGGGGUAAAGGCCCACCAAGGCGACGAUCCGUAGCUGGUCCGAGAGGAUGAUCAGCCACACUGGAACUGAGACACGGUCCAGACUCCUACGGGAGGCAGCAGUGGGGAAUAUUAGGCAAUGGGCGCAAGCCUGAUCCAGCCAUACCGCGUGGGUGAAGAAGGCCUUCGGGUUGUAAAGCCCUUUUGUUGGGAAAGAAAAGCAGCAGGUUAAUACCCCGCUGUUCUGACGGUACCCAAAGAAUAAGCACCGGCUAACUUCGUG